rnacentral:lncRNA from 1 species
ACUAUUCGCCAUUUAAUUAAUUAGCAUUUCUUUUUACUGUUGCUUUUACAGUUAAUUAGUGAUUAAUUUAUUGGGUUAACGUUUCUCUUAGAAUGUGGCUAAAUUUUGGACGUAAACUUUGUGAGAUAGAUGAACAAUCUAAGACAGAAUUGGUCCUUUCCACGUAGUUUGGAAAAGUGACCAUGGGUACAAAGUUGGGUAUUGACAGGAC